rnacentral:rRNA from 1 species
AUUGAACGCUGGCGGCAGGCUUAACACAUGCAAGUCGAGCGAGCGGCGGACGGGUGAGUAAUGUCUGGGAAACUGCCUGAUGGAGGGGGAUAACUACUGGAAACGGUAGCUAAUACCGCAUACCAUCAGAUGUGCCCAGAUGGGAUUAGCUAGUAGGUGGGGUAAUGGCUCACCUAGGCGACGAUCCCUAGCUGGUCUGAGAGGUUGACCAGUCACACUGGAACUGUGACACGGUCCAGACUCCAACGGGAGGCAGGAGUGGGGAAUAUUGGACAAUGGGCGAAAGCCGGAAGCAGCCAUGCAGCGUGGAGGAAGAAGGACGUAGGGUUUUAAAUUACUAUCAUCGGUGAGGGGUUACGCGCAGAAGAAGCACCGGCUAACUCCGUGCCAGCAGCCGCGGUAAUAC